GACGAACGCUGGCGGCGUGCUUAACACAUGCAAGUCGAACGGAAAGGCCCUGCGCUUGUGGGGUGCUCGAUUGGCGAACGGGUGAGUAACACGUGAGUAACCUGCCCUUGACUUUGUGAUAACUUCAGGAAACUGGGGCGAAUACCGGAUAGGAGCUCCUGCUGCAUGGUGGGGGUUGGAAAGUUUCGGCGGUUGGGGAUGGACUCGCUGCUUAUCAGCUGGUUGGUGGGGUAGUGGCUUACCAAGCCUUUGACGGGUAGCCGGCCUGAGAGGGUGACCGGCCACCAUGGGCCUGCGGUACGGCGCAGACGCCUACGGGCGGCAGCAGUGGGGAAUCUUGCACAAUGGGCGGAAGCCUGAUGCAGCAACGCCGCGUGCGGGAUGCUGGCCUUCGGGUUGUAAACCGCUUUCGCCUGUGACGAAGAGUGCGUGACGGUAAUGAGUAAAGAAGCACCGGCUAACUACGUG
rnacentral:rRNA from 1 species